AGUGAACGCUGGCGGUAGGCCUAACACAUGCAAGUCGAACGGCAGCACAGUAAGAGCUUGCUCUUACGGGUGGCGAGUGGCGGACGGGUGAGGAAUACAUCGGAAUCUACUUUUUCGUGGGGGAUAACGUAGGGAAACUUACGCUAAUACCGCAUCCGACCUACGGGUGAAAGCAGGGGAUCUUCGGACCUUGCGCGAUUGAAUGAGCCGAUGUCGGAUUAGCUAGUUGGCGGGGUAAAGGCCCACCAAGGCGACGAUCCGUAGCUGGUCUGAGAGGAUGAUCAGCCACACUGGAACUGAGACACGGUCCAGACUCCUACGGGACGCAGCAGUGGGGAAUAUUGGACAAAGGGCGCAAGCCUGAUCCAGCCAUACCGCGUGGGUGAAGAAGGCCUUCGGGUUGUAAAGCCCUUUUGUUGGGAAAGAAAAGCAGCAGGUUAAUACCCCGCUGUUCUGACGGUACCCAAAGAAUAAGCACCGGCUAACUUCGUG
rnacentral:rRNA from 1 species